rnacentral:lncRNA from 1 species
AGUGAUCUAAACGCUCUUAUAUCUCUUGAUUACUAGUGUCUAAGCAACUUUGCAAGAGAAACAUUGCUCCCUAGAAGUAUGUAUUCUUGUUACUCCCUGGACAUGUCUUUCACGUGGAGAUGAGUUAAUUAUGUAGAAUACCCAGUUUCAACUUUGCCUAAGCUGCUUGUGUGGUCCUUCUAGCGAGUUUUGAUUGUCACCCUCUGUUUACAUUAAUGUGAAGUACGUGGGAUGAGUUGAGCUGGUGAUGAGUAGGGUUUCCCUGAGUGCUAGCCCGACUCCAGUUCGUAAUUUAUUUAGGUCUUUUAGGUGUGGCUCAGGAUUUACAUUUGCAUAUGUUGUGUGGAAAGCUGCUCGUUUGAGUAGUUGCAGCAUGUACUCAUCAGUAGCUGUUUCAGAAAGAGUGCAGUCACUGGUGAUAUAGUGAUUAGAGGAUAUAUAUUAUCCAAGCAUCCUGAUGAGAAUAUCAGGCAAAAAUGCUUCUAGAGCUGUAAAUCCCUUGAAAAAUGAGGUGUAGGUUCUGACGUUUCUUGACUGACUUAUAGUGCUCGGGAAGGUUGUGAUCUGUAUGCAUGCCAAAUCUCAGCGUCAAAUACAAUGUUACUGGCAAGAUAUUUGGUACUGACAUUUUGGAUUAAUGUAGAAUAUGGCCUUCCUGGGUAACAUAAAUGAUGGUCUUGAAACUUCUGCCCCGAGUAUAUUCGUGGAGUUUGUGACUUUAGAAAGUUUUUUGCUGGAUAUGCCCUCGAUAGUAUCGUCCACAGCAGCUUAUCUCAGGUGUCGCUGGGAGAAACACAACAAAUCAUGGGAGAUCAGAAAACGCAGUGAACACCAUGGCAAGCUUGCAGCCAAGAAGCAAUCCAUGUUCUGUGGCCCCACUGUUUAUUUCUGUUAGGCCAGAGUUGCAAUGUCUCUGCAUUGCUCAGCUGUUCUACCUUGUCUAGUUUCAAUUCCGGAUUGUUAUAAUUUGUACCCCAGAUAAAUCGGGUGUUAUAUAUAGCCUGGGUUCCCGUAUCUUCUGAAAUAAUUUAUACUGAUGGCUGCCCUUCUAGCUUGCGUUUGUUCAGAAUGUACCUAGCUAGACAGAUAGUAAGUAGCCCGUUACACCUCUUGUCUGUGCAUUACAUGCGACAUGAACAACGGCCACACUGUGACCUUGUGAAUGUUACACAAAACAGGUGAUAAACUGACUCAAGUUUGGAAUUUAUUUAGUUGUUUUAAGUGUCCGCGCUCAGGUUUGCUUCUGCAUAUGUUGUGCUGAAAAGUUGUUCUUUCUUAGUAGUUGCAGCAUGUACUCACCAAUAGCUGUUUAAAAACAGUGCGCGCACCAGUAAUCUAAAGAGUGUAUUCCUUUUGUAGCAAAAGGGUGACAGGUGAACGGACUGAUUCUUGUCACCACUGUUUGGUGAAAGUUAUGAGGUUAUUUUUGUUGGUAAUAUUGCUUACUGGGUACAUCAAGGCUCAGAUCAGAGUUAGAGUUUGAAAGGAUGCUGAUGAUUUCCCAUUGAUUCUACUUGUCUCCAUGCAUUUAUUUGAUUGGUAUCGGUAGCUGUAGAGAGAUACAUUCGAUCAUGAGACAUAGUUUCAACUUGCAAUCAUCUGAAUAACCAUAUAACAUGCUAUUAUUCUAGAGCUACGGGAUGUUACAUAUGCACACCUGAUUAACUAUUGCAUUGAAUGUUCAUCUCAGGCUCUUUCAUCAAAUCCAAAGGUUCCAACAGUGAAGAGGAAAGCAGAUGCAAAUGCUGCAACUACUGUGCCAAAGAAAGUACAGAAAUUAACCAAGGACUGGAGCUGUGCACUAUGCCAGGUUAGUGCACCAUGUGAAGCUGCUCUAAAUGAGCAUCUUGGAGGAAGAAAGCAUAAGGCAAAGUUGGCACAGCGUGGCGUCAGCAAGACGAUCAAAGAUGGCAAAAACUGCUCGCAGACGACCACUGGGAAUGAGAACAGCACAGAUCCUUGUGAUGCACCUAAGAAAAUAUGCAUGCUUGGAGGAACAAAGCAUAAGGCAAAGUUGGCACAGUGUGGCGUCAGCAAAACAAUCAAAGAUGGCAAAAACUGCUUGCAGACGACCACUGGGAAUGAGAACAACACAGAUCCUUGUGAUGCACCUAAGAAAAUGAAAAUAUGCAUGCCAGUAGACGGUGCAAUGCAUGAAGUUGUUCGGAAGGACAAAUACCUGUGGUGUGAUCACUGCAGAGUCAGUUGUGAUAACUAUGCCACCAUGGCUUGCCAUCUGCGGUGCAAGAAGCAGAGUAAAUUAACCAAGGUUUGUUCAUCGAUAAAGGCUGUGAGGACAAAUACCAAUACUACGGAAGGUUUGCCUUCUUGUGGAAGUCAGGUAAAUACAAAUGGCUCUACUGAAAUUCCAGCGGUAAUUGAAGGCGGCAUAAAUAUGACCACCACGGUAGAUGAAAGCGGCCCUGUAGAAAAUCCAGUCCGGAAAGAAAUGACAAAAAUGGCCACCAUAAAGGCUGUGAGGACAAAUACUGAUACUAAGGAAAGUUUGCCUUCUUGUGGAAGUCGGGUAAAUACAAACGGCUCUAUUGAAAUUCCAGUGGUAAUUGAAGGCGACAUAAAUAUGACCACCGCAGUACAUGAAAGCGGCCCUGUAGAAAAUCCAGUCCGGAAAGAAAUCACAAGAAUGGCCACCAUAAAGGCUGUGAGGACAAAUACUGGUACUAAGGCAAAUUUGCCUUCUUCUUGUGGAAAUCAGGUAAAUACAAACGGCUCUACUGAAAUUCCAGCGGCAAUUGAAGGCGACAUAAAUAUGACCACCGCAGUAGAUGAAAGUGGGCCUGUAGAAAAUCCAGUCCAGAAAGAAAUACAAAGAAUGGCCACCAUAUGGGCAAUGUUUUCUUGCUAAGUUUCUACUGGUAAUCAAGGUAGGAAUCUUGCAAUCCUACGAAUCCAGUUGAACAGAUAGCUUAUAAGGUAUAUAACUUGAUUGCUAAUGUCUAAGCAACUUUGCAAGAGAAACAUUGCUCCCUAGAAGUAUGUGUUUUGUUACUCCCUGGACAUUUCUUUCACAUGGAGAUGACUUGUAUAUGUAGAAUGCCCAGUUUGAACUUUGCCUAAGCUGCUUCUGUGGUACUUCUAGCCAGUUUUGAUUGUCGCCCUCUGUUUAUGUUAAAGUGAGUAGGUGGGAUGGGUUGAGCUGGUGAUGAGUAGGGUUUCCCUGAGUGCUAACCUGACUCGUUUGUAAUUUAUUUAGGUCUUUUAGGUGUGGCUCAGGUUUGCUUUUGCAUAUGUUGUGUGUAAAGUUGUUCGUUGAUUAGUUGCAGCACAUCCUCAUCAAUAGCUGUUUCAGAAAGACUGGUCAGCAUUAAUAUAUAGUUGUAAGAUGCAUAUAUAUUAUCCAAGCAUCCUGAUGAAGACAGAAACCGGCAUAUAUGAAAUAUCAGGCAAAAAUGCUUCUAAAGCUGCAAAUUCCAUGAUAAUGAGGUGUAGGUUCCGACGAUUCUUGACUGAUUUAUAGUGCUUGGGAAGGUUGUGAUAUGUAUGCAUGCCAAAUUUCAACGUCAAAUUUUGGUACUGAAAUUUUGAAUUAAUGUUUGGUACUGAAAUUUGGCAUUAAUGUAGAAUAUGGCCUUCCUUGGUAUUUUAAAUUAUUUUAGAGAUGAUCUUUGAAACUUCUGCCCCGAGUAUUCAUGGAAUUUGUGAGUUUAGACAGUUUUUUGCUGGAUAUAUAUACCCUUGAAAGUUUCGUCCACAGCAGCUUAUCUCAGGUGUUGCUGGGAGAAACCCAACAAAUCAUGGGAUAUCAGAAAACUCAGUGAACAUCAUGGCAAGCUUGCAGCCAAGAAGCAAUCCAUGUCCUGUGGUCCUGCUGUUUAUUUCUGUUAGGCCAGAGUUCCAAUGUCUCUCGCAUUGCUCAGCUGUUGUACCUUCUCGAGUUUGAAUUCUGGAUUGUUAUAAUUUGUAUCUCAUAUAGAUCUGGUGUUAUAUCUUCUGAAAUAAUCUAUACUGAUGUCUGCCCUACUAGCUUGUGUUUACUAAGAACAUACCUAGCUAGACAGAUAGUAAGUAAGUACUCCCUCCGUCCGGAAUUACUUGUCGUAGAAAUGGAUGGAAAUGAAUGUAUCUAGAACUAAAAUACGUCUAGAUACAUCCAUUUCUCCGACAAGUAUUUCCGGACGGACUCCAUUUCUUCGACAAGUAUUUCCGGACGGACUCCAUUUCUCCGACAAGUAUUUCCGGACAGAGGGAGUAGCUCGUUACACCUCUUGUCUGUGCAUUACAUGUGACAUGAACACCGACCACAUUGUGACCUUUUAAUGUUACACAAAAUAGGUGAUAAACUGACUCAAGUUUGGAAUUUAUUUACUUGUUUUAGGUGUCAGUGCUAAAGUUUGCUUCAGCAUAUGUUGUGCUGAAGUUGUAAUUUCCUAGUGGUAGUUGCAGCAUGUACUCAGCAAUAGCUGUUCCAAAAGUAGUGCGCGCACCAGUAAUCUAUAGAGGCAUAUAGAGCAUACAAGCAUCCUGAUGAAGAGAGAAAUGACAGAUAUGAAAUAUCAGGUGAAAAUGCUCAUAUGGCUGUAGCAUUCAAUGAAAAAUGUGUAGGUCUCGAUGAUUCUCAAUUCAUUUAUACUGCUCGGGACGGUUGUGUUCUACUAUCUCUGUUUCUAAAUAUAAGUCUUUUUAGAGAUUUCACUAUAGACUAUAUUCGGAUGUAUAUAGAUAUGCCUUUUAGAGUAUAGGUUCACUUAUUUUGCUCCGUAUGUAGUCUAUACAAUGAAAUCCAUGCCAAGUUUGAGAUUCAAAUACAAUGUUAUUUGUGAGAUAUUUUGCUUGUAAAUUUUAUAUGUUGAUAAUGUGGAAUAUGGUAUGCCCAGGUACUGCAAAUUGAAGUGGUAUUCGUAACUUCUGCAUAGUAUUCAUGGAAUUGUGUGACUACGUUUUUUUGAGAGUACGCCUAGGCGUAUCAUAUUUUUUUAUAGAAGGCGGGAAAUUCCAAGAAGACUGAUGUAGUACAAACUCAACUAGCCACCACAUACAUUAGAAUUUACAACCACAACAUAAAGGGUGUAGCCUAAGUUAGAAAGACAAAGCAUGUCACGACCAACACCGGUCCCCUCUGAAGACAAUUGAAACUCAUCCAUCCAUGAAUGCCUAAAAGAGAUUGAUGAGUAGGUGGAGGACUUGACAAAGGCAUCGUAUUGGACACAUAAAUGACAACAUAAACAACACCUUGAAAGAUCGACCUAGGACAACAACGAGCAUUAAAGGAAUGCAACACACGACCUCCACAACAAUGAGCAUCAAAGGAAUGCAACCCAAGACCUCCAAAUCUUACCGCGUACAUAAUGCUCCGAAUUGAGAAACGACGUCGCCAUCGUCAAUUCGGAAUCGAAUCUAGGCUUUCGCCCGGAAAUAACAACCAAAUUCUAAAUGUCGGGGAGGGGAAACACACCUCAACGACGCCUCCAAAGACGCCUCAAGGAUACUUGGGCCGGUCGGUUGGGCCCGAUUUCAGAGGAACCCAACGAGAUAGUCUGGAAACCCCCGCAGCACGCCGGACGAAGCCGACUGUUGCUCUGCAUUCUGCACUGCACUGCACCGCCGCCGCCGCUCCGAUCGCUCGCCGCUGGAUCUACCCCACCUCGGCACUCCCGCCGCGGCGGUCCAUGGAGUUCCGCUUCCGCGCCGGGGACCGCGGGCCACCCGGCUCCUCCCCACCCGCGCCCUCCAGCUCCCCGCCGGCGCGGUUCUCCCACCCCCGCGACGGCUACGCCGGUGCCGUUGCUUCGGGCACGCAAGGUAAGCACCGCCGGAACAGAGCGUCCGACUUCACUCCCCGGAGCGCCCGAAUCCCUGACGCUCUCCGCCCCUCCGCGCAGCAGGGCCUUCGCCUUCGCCUUCGCCGCGGCCGCCGCUCGACUGGGAGGCGGCGCGGCGGGAGCACCUCAUUCGCGAGGAGGUGAGGCGGCGGCUCGUCGAGGAUGAGGUGCGCCGCGAGUUCGAGGCCAAGGGCGACCUCGCCUUCGCCCGCGGCCUCCACGGGGGCUGGGGGCCCGACCCGUUCCUCGCCCCCGGCUGCUUCAUGCCGCCGCCGCACGCGCCGAUGCCGAUGCCGAUGCGCCCGCCCCCGUACGCGCCGCCGCCGCCGGUGCCUUUCGACGAGUUUGGUGCCUGGCAGGGGUUUAGGCCUCGCCGGCACGCCGGAUUUGGGGAAAGGAUGCCGUUCCCCUGUGAGGAGGGGAGGUGGUCUCUGCCGCCGCAAAAGCCGAAGCAUAAGCUCAAGCUGGUUGAGAUCGAGCCCUCCGGGACACCUGAGGUAUGUGGGCACAAAUCUUUCUCAGAUUCUUCAGGCAAAGUCAUUAUCAUCGUAGUACUACGCCUGAAGUUCUUUUCCAGAUUCGGCAUCGUAGCACCUUCUGUAGAGUCACGAUUCACGAACACUAUCUCUUCUGAAGAUGCUUUCCAGAUUCGGCAUAGAAAAACUGUCACCUGCCUCAGAAAUUCCUUCUGUAUUUCUGUGAUGUCAUUUCAGAGUUCUGCACACUGUCUGUACAUUUUAUGUUUAUUUCACUUGUCCUAUUAGAUUUAACUUCAGCAGCAAAUUCUUGUUCCCUUUGUAUCUAAAGUAUAAGUCGUUUUUUCAGUUCAAAUUGAACUGCAAAAACGUCUUAUAUUUAGAUACAGAGGAAGUAGAAGAUAUUUCAAGUCAUGCGUAAGCCGGCAAUUCUUGAUAUCUAGAGGAAAUAUUUCUUUGCUUAGUUCAAUGGAAUAUCAAAUCUUGUUGGACUAUACCGGGACAAUUCUAUGAUCUAGACAGAAUAUUCCCCUUCCAGAUAACCGUAAUGAUCAACUAAAAUAUUUGAUUUAGGCAGACGGUGUGAACUUGUGUGGCAAAAAUAGUAUUCCUUUUGUAGGAAAAAGGGUGACAGGUGAACAUACUGAUUCUUGUCAGAACUGUUUGGUGGAAGUUAUGAAGUUAUUUUUGCUGGUGAUAUUGCUUACUGGGCACAUCAAGGCUCAGAUCAGAGAUACAUUCAGUCAUGAGACAUAGUUUCAACUUGCAAACAUCUGAAUACUCAUAACAUGCUAUUAUUCUAGAGCUGCAGGAUGUUGUUAGAUAUGCACACCCGAUUAACUAUUGCAUUGAAUGUUCAUCUCAGAAUCUUUCGCCAAAAUUGAAGGUUCCAAGGCUGAAGAGGAAAACAGAUGCCAAUGCUGCAGCUACUGUACCAAAGAAAGUACUGAAACUAGCCAAGGACUGGAGCUGUGCUCUAUGCCAGGUUAGUGCAACAUGUGAAGCUGGUCUAAAUGAGCAUCUCGGAGGAAGAAAACAUAAGGCCAAGUUGGCCCUGUGUGGCGCUAGCAAGGCAAUCAAAGAUGACAAAAACUGCUCGCAGACGACCACUGGGAAUAAGAACAGCACAGAUCCUUGUGAUGCACCUAAGAAAGUACACAUGCUAGUAGACGGUGAAAUGCAUGAAGUUGUUCAGAAGAACAACUAUCUGUGGUGUGAUCGCUGCAGAGUCAGGUGUGAUAGCAAUGUCAUCAUGGCUGGCCAUCUGCGGAGCAAGAAGCACAGUAAAUUAAACAAGGUUUGGACAUCGAUAAAGGCUGUGAGGACAAAUACCGAUACUAAGGAAGGUUUGCCUUCUUGUGGAAGUCGGGUAAAUACAAACGACUCUACUGAAAUUCCAGCGGUAAUUGAAGGCGACAUAAAUAUGACCAGUGAAGUAGAUGAAAGUAGCCCUGUAGAAAAUUCAGCCAGGAAAGAAAUCAAAAGCAUUGCCGCCGAAGUAGAAAUUCCAGCGGUAAUUGAAGGCGACAUAAAUAUGACCAGUGGUGUAGAUGAAAGUAGCCUUGUAGAAACUCCAGCUGGGAAAGAAAUCAGAAGCAUCGCCAGUGAAGUAGAAAGUAUAACCAUGGCUACCGAAGUACAUGAAAAUAACCCUGGGGAAACUCCAGUUGAAACAAAGAAGGAAAGCACAGACAUGACAAAUGAUGUGUGACAAGUCGUGCCAAAGGAGGAGUAACAGUAUACCUGCUCUUUGCCCAAGCUUCUUGCUUCUACCCUUUCGUUGGACAUGAUCUUAUCGUGGAACGUAUGCUUAGCUCAGUUUCAUCAUCAGAUGUGGGGUUCUCUCUUACCAUCCACAUGUACUCCCUCUGUAAAGAAAUAUAAGAGCAUUUAGAUUACUACUUUAGUGAUCUAAACGCUCUUAUAUUUCUUUACGGAGGGAGUAGUUUAUAGGGUAACAAUAAUGCAUAUGGGCAAUGUUUUCUUGUUAAGUUUCUUAGAUACUGGUAAUCAAGGUAGGAAUCUUACAAGUCUAUGAAUCCAGUGCAAUACAUGGCUUCUAAGGUAUCUAACUUGAUUACUAGUGUCUAAGCAACUUUCCAUGAGAAGCACUGCUCCCUAGAAGUAUGUGUUAUUGUUACUCUUUGGACACGUCUUUGACAUGGAGAUUAUGUUUUUUAUGUAGAAUGCCCCACUUUGAACUAUACCUUAGCUGCCUCUGUGGUACUUGUAUCCAGUUUUUAUUGUCGUCCUCUGUUUGUUUAUAUGUAAUGUGCUGAGGUGAGAUGGGUUGAGCUGGUGACGAGUAGGGUUUCUCUGGGUGCUAACCUGACUCUAGUUUGUAUUUUACUUAGGUCUUUUAGGUGUCUGCAGGUUUAUUUUUGCAUAGGUUGUGUGAAAAUUUGUUCGUUCGAGUAGUUGUAGCAUGCACUCACUAAUAGCAGUUUUGAAAAGAGUGUACAACCAGCAAUAUAUAGAGAUUAGAGGCACAUAGACUAUCCAAGCAUCUUAAUGAAGA